GAUGAACGCUAGCGGGAGGCCUAAUACAUGCAAGUCGAGCGGUAGAGUGACUUCGGUUGCUUGAGAGCGGCGAACGGGUGAGUAACGCGUACACAAUCUACCUUUAAGAGGGGAAUAGCCCUGGGAAACUGGGAUUAAUGCCCCAUGGCAUCACGAAGUGGCAUCGCUUUGUGAUUAAAGCUGAGGUGCUUAGAGAUGAGUGUGCGUCUGAUUAGCUAGUUGGUGCGGUAACGGCGCACCAAGGCGACGAUCAGUAGGGGGCGUGAGAGCGUGGACCCCCACACGGGUACUGAGACACGGACCCGACUCCUACGGGAGGCAGCAGUAAGGAAUAUUGGUCAAUGGAGGAAACUCUGAACCAGCCAUCCCGCGUGCAGGAAGAAUGCCCUAUGGGUUGUAAACUGCUUUUAUCUGGGAAGAAAGUCGGGAUUUAUCCUGAUCUGACGGUACCAGAGGAAUAAGCACCGGCUAACUCCGUGCCAGCAGCCG
rnacentral:rRNA from 1 species